GGUUCUUUAUACAGAAUAAUCUCCUGCCCAGUGACUUUUAACGGCCGCGGUAUCCUAACCGUGCAAAGGUAGCAUAAUAACUUGCCCAUUAAUUGUGGGCUAGAAUGAACGGGGUACCGAAAUAAGAUCUAUUCCAAUAAGACACCUAUAAACUACUCUAAAAGUGAAGAAGCUUUUAUUCUAGUACAGGACAAGAAGACCCUAUAGAGCUUUAUCUCUAUUAAUAAUAUAUUCUAACAGAUUCGGUUGGGGCGACCCAGGAAAAAUCAUCCUCUAAACUUUUGAUAUAUUUAUCUCUCUACAGAUCCUAUUAAGAUCAAUAAAUCAAGCUACCUUAGGGAUAACAGGCUAAUUCUAUUCCAGAGUUCAUAUCGACAAUAGAGAUUGGCACCUCGAUGUUGGCUUAGAUUACCUAAUUGGCGCAGACGUCACUAAAGGGGGUUUG
rnacentral:rRNA from 1 species